GACGCCGGUACCUCCGUGCGGCCGCGGCGGAAAGCCGCCGUUCGUGGUGGGAGUGGGGCCGGGGCCGGGGCCGGGCGCUGGGGGCCGGGGCGCCCGCGUCGAAGCGGGCGGCCACGUGUCCCGGCUGUGCCUUGGCCGCGCUGCCCGCGUGGGAGCCGAGGCCCGGACCCGGCCCGGCGGCGCCCGCCUCCGGCGUUCAAUUAUAUCUCGAAAAUAACUUUUAAAAUUGUGUAACGUGCUCUCGUGUGCAUAUCCCUUCCGGGUUUGGGGCUUCGUGGACUUUGCAGCCCGCCUCAGUCCUUUGUUGCCUAGGGAGCCACGAGGGAAUUGGUUCCCUGGACAAACGUUUUCUGAGCGGGUGCUGCGUGCUAGGCACGGUGCCCGCGCGGGAUGCCCGGACUUGGUGCCCAGAGCUCGUCAGCGGGAGAAGUGAGAAGCAGCUUCAUGGAUUCCAGGUAAAUCAGAGGAGCAAGCAUCAUGAACAGAAGUAUGUACAGGAAAUGCCGUGGUGCUGAAGCCUAAGCGAUGUUGCAGAAGUUCCAGGACCUGGUGCGCUUACCAGUUGGGAAUGUAUUAUUUCCCAAAUCACCUAAUUUUUCCUCAUGCUUAUAAGCUAAAACUGUUCACUGCCUCCACGAAACUGACCUGUUUCUGUGUUGACUGGAAUCGGGAGAAAAAUUCGCAGACUUCUCUUCUGAGGAUCCAGGGACGUAGAACAGUAAUGCGAGGUGACACAUCUCUUACCUAGUAUGUAGCAUCGGCUUGGAAGCUUAAUUGUCCUUCUUACUGUCAGACGUUUUAUUGAGAACACAGCUGUCAUCAUGAGAUUACAAGUAAACCCUGAGGAGGAAGAAUACCCGGCCCGCGUUCUGGGAACUUACAGUAAGUCGAGUUGCUGUGGGCAGUAGAGCAUAAGAACGCAGGUGAAACCUAAGGACAUGAGAGAGCAUGUCUGUGUUCAUUCAGAACACUCGGUGGGGCGGCUUUGAUAGCACGGUCAAGGGCAAGGUAAAUCUAAACUUUUGGGUUAGGCAUCGCAACCAAAGAAAUGAAAACAAUUUGAAGUUUUUAAUAAAGCAGCCAAAAAUACAAAAUGUUAUGGAUGUUGAACAUACUCCUUUCUGUCUUUGAUUUAAAGCCACCCUUAUACUCUGGUUUCUCUUCAGAUCGAAUAAAUCUUUCGCCUUCUAAAACCACCAUUGAGGGCGCUUGGGUGGCUCAGUCAGUUGAGCGUCUGACUUGAUUUCAGCUCCUGUCACGAUCUCUCGGUCCGUGGGUUCGAGCCCCACGUUGGGCUCUGCGCUGGCAGCACGGAACCUGCUUGGGAUUUUCUGUCUCCGUCUCUCUCUGCCCCUCCCCUGCUCACGCUCUAUCUCUCCUUCUAAAUAAAUAAACACUUAAAAAAACAAAAAAUGAAACCACUCUUGGAGUAUUGCCUCCAAACAUUGUGAUUUAAAGAAACGAAGAAGGUGGUAUGCGAGAUAUUUCUUCCAAAGCAUCAAACUCUCAUGUAUGAUUUGGCAUUUUAGUUUUGAGGUUUUUCUUUAGAAAUCUGUUCUAUUCAUGCCUGAAUCACUAUAUGGUACACCUGAACCUGAUGUAAAACUAUACAUUGACUAUACUGGAAUUAAAAGCAAAACUGUUUUCUAUGAUGAAAACAUGACAAAAACCGUUGUCAGAAAUCUGCUUUUAUGCUCCAAUGUAUUUUGGGCGUUUUGAGCACGUAAGUCAAUUAUCUUUAUCAGUUCGUGAUGUCUCCCAUGUGAACAUUAGUAGAAGGUAGAGGUGGGAAGUACACAGAAAGUUAUUUAAAUCCUGGGAUUUUGGUCACAAAAUGUAAUUAGACCACAAACUAAAUAAUCGUGCCACGUAUAAACAUGCUGGCUCAGGCAUCCUCAAAACGUUUUUCUCUCUGUGCUUAUUUAUAGAUAAAGUUUUACUGUGUUUCACACAAUCUCUGCUUUCUACCCAGCCCUCCAAAAGCAAAUUCAACAUUGAACCUAUGGUUACAAACCUAAACAAAGUUGAGCUAGUUUCUUCCCAUAUAUCAGCCCUAAAUGAAGAGUCCAGAUUGUUGAACCUAAGACAAUACGUUUUCUGAACGCUCAGCAGAUCAGCGUUUCCAACUUCAGGUCUUAAGGUCCCUGCUUUAUUCUUGCAAAGAGGGUGUGUUUCUAUGCAUAGGACAGGUGAUACAGACAUGUUGGUCCAAGCCGGCCAGAACAUUCUGUAAGUCAUUUUAAGAGAAAAGUGGCUGUUUGAGCCACCAGACAUGCCUCAGCUAAAGUAAAAUAGCAUCUGAGACCCCGAGUUCCACAGUCAUGAGCUGGAACCUGAACCCUUUCGCUGUGGGGCACGGAGCGAGUAUCCAGUAAGUUUAGAGCAUCAGUGUGACCAUGGAAUUAACUGGUUUCCCCAGCCGCCCUAAAAAUAAUGGAAAGUACGAGAAACCAAGACAAUGCCCAGCCCUCUGAGAGAAUUUUUGCUAAUCCCUAAUGCCAGACAGAAACGCCUUUGGGGAUUCCUGACCUCUAUUUGACAAGACAGCUGGUUUUAUAAAUACUUCUCUGGCCAUGGGAGUGGCCUCAGUUUUUCUAAUCUCUGUUUCCCACAUCUCGUGGGCUCAGCCUGGAGUCAGGGAGGAAGGCCUCGUUAGGACCCCCCUCUACGGGCCCUGCUCUCCCCUGGGCGAAAUGAAGAGAAACGGUGCGCUGUAAAUUGGGUUGAGUUGGGUCCGGAACGGACGGGGAGACGCCUUCCCUGAAGAAGCAUGCGUGGAAAGCUUGGAUGCCACAGCAGAACCUGCUUCCCUCCUGGGAUUUGGAAUGUAGAGGUGUGACGUCACCGAGACGGGUUCCUUCUCGGCACUUUCCACCCCUUCCCGCCUUCCCCUUCCCGGGUUUGUGAAAAUUACGUUUGCCGUGUCUGUGAAGGUUUACGCCGAUUUCAAGAUGUCUCUGUAUGAGGGCUGCAGAGUUUUAAGGCCUCGAUCUGUACUCCGUUCCUCUGCUUCAGAACAUUCGCCGCCCCCACCCCCUGCCCCCAAAUAAUAUCGUCUUGCA